CGAACGCUGGCGGCGUGCUUAACACAUGCAAGUCGACCGGAAAGGCCCUGCUUUUGUGGGGUGCUCGAGUGGCGAACGGGUGAGUAACACGUGAGUAACCUGCCCUUGACUUUGGGAUAACUUCAGGAAACUGGGGCUAAUACCGGAUAGGAGCUCCUGCUGCAUGGUGGGGGUUGGAAAGUUUCGGCGGUUGGGGAUGGACUCGCGGCUUAUCAGCUUGUUGGUGGGGUAGUGGCUUACCAAGGCUUUGACGGGUAGCCGGCCUGAGAGGGUGACCGGCCACAUUGGGACUGAGAUACGGCCCAGACUCCUACGGGAGGCAGCAGUGGGGAAUAUUGCACAAUGGGCGGAAGCCUGAUGCAGCAACGCCGCGUGCGGGAUGACGGCCUUCGGGCUGUAAACCGCUUUCGCCUGUGACGAAGCGUGAGUGACGGUAAUGGGUAAAGAAGCACCGGCUAACUACGUG
rnacentral:rRNA from 1 species